ensembl:lncRNA
AGAGCUCCGAGCGGACGCAGCACGAAGCGAAGUUACGGCAGCAGAGCGACAUGAACGGGCUGAUAGAACCACGACUACCGGCUCCACUACUCUAAUCCUCAAGUGAGGAUGAGGGAGAUGCAGCUGAUUUCAGGUAUACUAUCCCAACUCAAGUGAGGCACAUCUUGUUACAGAAUCUAUAAUGAAGUUCCAAUGAUUCAGAAAAAUGGUCUACAAACACAGAAUUGUUGAACACAGAAAUGUUGUUUCUGCACUUUUAAUUCCAUAGUUAAUUUCCCUGAAAUAUAUAUUUUAUUUUUGUAUUUUUAAUUAGGAAAAGUGUUAUAUGUAUAGUGUUAUAUUUAUAAUAAAUGCAAAUUAAUAAAAUAAUGUGUUUGUCCUUGUUAAGGGCUGUUAACAUGACAACUGUGACUAAGUAUGUAACUUGUAAGUUUCCAGCGAGCAAUUUAUCCGUUGAAACAACGUUUAAAAGACGUCUAUGGCCCGACGUUGAAAAGAGGUUGCAAAUUGGUUCAAAAGUGAAAGUUGUUUCAACGUCUAUUCAUAGACGUCUAUUCAUAGACGUUGCAAAAUGGUUUAAAAGUGAAAGUUGUUUCAACGUCUAUUCGUAGACGUUGAAAAGACGUUCGCGUAUAGACCCGUUUUCAACGUGAUUUAUAAUAUCAGUGGGAAACUUACAAAUGUGGACGUAGUUUCUUUUUAAACAUCACAAUGAUAUAGCAUACAAGAGAGGACGAAAUAUUACCGUAUUAAAAAAUCACGUUGAAAUGUGGUCUAAACAUAGACGUCUUUUCAACGUCUACGAAUAGACGUUGAAACAACUUUCACUUUUAAACCAUUUUUCAACGUCUUUUCAACGUCGGGCAUAGACGUCUUUUAAACGUCUUUUCAACCAAAAAAUGCUCACUGGGGUAGCUCUGUAAACAAGAGGGCCAACACAUUGUAAGUUACUGCUGCUUAAAGCAUGAUACUGUGUAAUAUACCUGGAAAUGUUACUCCAGAAAUACCAUAAGUUGCAGAUGAAUUGUUAUCUUGUUGAUAAUGUAAUAAGUAAACCAUCUAUAAAUGAGGGUUCUAACACACCAGCUGCUGUUGUUAUUAUUAGUUUAUUACUGUCAUCAUAAAGCCAAAUGACCAACUUUGCCUUUGUGCUUUCCCACCUCACAGGUUUCUGCGGGUGGUGGUUGCAUCUGAUGGAGGUUACGUCUGAUGAUGGUUGUCCCUGCACUGGUCCUGCCUUACCCCUGGCUUAGUAAUCCACAAUAUUAGAAUCAUUUCUGUCGUAGGAAUUGGAUGUACUGUACAUCUUUAAAUUGUUCAUACUCUACACACCUACUGCCUUGCUGUUUUCCCCUCAGGUUUCUCCCGGUUGAAGGUUUUUUACAUUUUGGGGGUUUUGGGACAGGAUGUUGCAUGUUUACAGAUUGCAAAGCUGAACAAAAUAAAAUGAUUUUGUCACAGGGUGAGGUCAAGUUGGGUUUUUGUCGGCAUGUUUUGGUCUUGUCAUUUCCGUUUUAUUUUGAAAGUAGUAACCUUCCUCUCGUUUCAGGUCACUUGCCCUUCCUCAUGUCACCAGUCGAAUCGUCUCCCCUGAUUCCUGAUUGUGUCCACCUGUUUCCCAUUACCCUCAUGUGUCUUAUAGUCUGCGUCUCCCUUUGUCUUGUGCCUGAGUGUACCACCGUGCGAUCACCCAAGCCUCGCCACAGCCACAGGAUUUGUUAAUACCAAUGCCUUGUCUCGGAAUGAUUACCCCUUUAUGUUUUUUCCUCUGAGUAAGAGUGACCUUUGUUGGAGCUUCUUAGUUUUAGUUUUAGCGCGCUUUCGAAGCCGUUCGUUUUCCUCGAUUAAGAGAGAUUUUAGUUUGUUAACUUUCGUCGGAAACACUGAUAGCUCAUAGCCGUUUGUUUGUUUUUUCACGACGCGAUUAAAGACGCCAAACCCUCUGCAUCUGAGUCCUCAUUUUUAUCCGGUCCUGACAGAACACUCAGGCCAGUAUGGACUCAGCAGAGGCAGAACAGAUGGCGGCAGCCCUGGGUGCCCAAGAUGCCCGUCUUUCCCGUCAAGAGGAAUUCCAGACGUCACUGGCUUCUCACAUAAGCCUACUCUCAUCCCAAAUUCAGGGUCUGCGUGACCUUUUCGUCCAGGACACCACAGCCCCCAGGGCCCCG